AUUGAACGCUGGCGGCAUGCCUAACACAUGCAAGUCGAGCGGAGCGGCGGACGGGUGCGUAAUGCCUAGGCAUCUGCCUUUUAGUGGUGGCUAACGUCCGGCAACGGGCGCUAAUCCCUCAUACUAUCCCAUGAGCCUAGGUCGGAUUAGCUAGUUGGUGGGGUAAAGGCCUACCAAGGCUCCGAUCCGUACCUGGCCUGAGAGGAUGAUCAGUCACACUGGAAAUGAGACAGGGUCCAGACUCCAACGGGAAGCAGCAGUGGGGAAUAUUGGACAAUGGGGGAAAGCCUGAUGCAGCCAUGCCGCGUGUGUGAAGAAGGUCUUCGGAUGGUAAAGCACUUUAAGUUGGGAGGCGUUACCAACAGAAUAAGCACCGGCUAACUUCGUGCCAGCAGCCGCGGUAAUAC
rnacentral:rRNA from 1 species